rnacentral:rRNA from 1 species
CGUGAGCAAUCUGCCUUGGAGUGGGGAAUAACGGUUGGAAACAGCCGCUAAUACCGCAUGAUACAGCUAUCCCGCAUGGGGUUGGCUGUCAAAGAUUUAUCGCUCUGAGAUGAGCUCGCGUCUGAUUAGCUUGUUGGCGGGGUAACGGCCCACCAAGGCGACGAUCAGUAGCCGGACUGAGAGGGUGGACGGCCACAUUGGGACUGAGACACGGCCCAAACUCCUACGGAAGGCAGCAG